rnacentral:rRNA from 1 species
GAUGAACGCUGGCGGCGUGCCUAACACAUGCAAGUCGAACGAAGAGGCCCCUUCGGGGGUACUUCAGUGGCGGACGGGUGAGUAACACGUAGGUGACCUGCCCCGAAGUGUGGAAUAACAGUCCGAAAGGAUUGCUAAUACCGCAUGUGGUCUGUGAGGUUAGAGUCUUGCAGACUAAAGCAGUAAUGUGCUUCGGGAGGGGCCUGCGCCCCAUCAGCUAGUUGGUAGGGUAAUGGCCUACCAAGGCAACAACGGGUAGGGGGCCUGAGAGGGUGACCCCCCACAUUGGCACUGACACACGGGCCAAACUCCUACGGGAGGCAG